CUCCUAAAGAGUAACGGAGGAGCACGAAGGUUGGCUAAUCCUGGUCGGACAUCAGGAGGUUAGUGCAAUGGCAUAAGCCAGCUUGACUGCGAGCGUGACGGCGCGAGCAGGUGCGAAAGCAGGUCAUAGUGAUCCGGUGGUUCUGAAUGGAAGGGCCAUCGCUCAACGGAUAAAAGGUACUCCGGGGAUAACAGGCUGAUACCGCCCAAGAGUUCAUAUCGACGGCGGUGUUUGGCACCUCGAUGUCGGCUCAUCACAUCCUGGGGCUGAAGUAGGUCCCAAGGGUAUGGCUGUUCGCCAUUUAAAGUGGUACGCGAGCUGGGUUUAGAACGUCGUGAGACAGUUCGGUCCCUAUCUGCCGUGGGCGCUGGAGAACUGAGGGGGGCUGCUCCUAGUACGAGAGGACCGGAGUGGACGCAUCACUGGUGUUCGGGUUGUCAUGCCAAUGGCACUGCCCGGUAGCUAAAUGCGGAAGAGA
rnacentral:rRNA from 1 species